AGAGUUUGAUUCUGGCUCAGGAUGAAUGCUGGCGGCGUGCCUAACACAUGCAAGUCGAACGAGCAAAUACAUUUGAUUUCUUCGGAAUGAAGAUGUAGGCGCGAGUGGCGGACGGGUGAGUAACGCGUGAGUAAUCUGCCUCAUACAGGAGAAUAACACUAAGAAAUUGGUGCUAAUACUCCAUAAGCUCACAUUAUGACAUCAUAGAGUGAGAAAAGAUUUAUCGGUAUGAGAGGAGCUCGCGUCUGAUUAGCUAGUUGGUGGGGUAACGGCCUACCAAGGCAACGAUCAGUAGCCGACCUGAGAGGGUGAUCGGCCACAUUGGAACUGAGACACGGUCCAAACUCCUACGGGAGGCAGCAGUGGGGAAUAUUGCACAAUGGGGGAAACCCUGAUGCAGCAACGCCGCGUGAAGGAAGAAGUAUUUCGGUAUGUAAACCUCUAUCGACAGGGAAGAAACAAAUGACGGUACCUGAAUAAGAAGCACCGGCUAAAUACGUGCCAGCAGCCGCGGUAAUACGUAUGGUGCAAGCGUUAUCCGGAUUUACUGGGUGUAAAGGGUGAGUAGGCGGUCAUGCAAGUCAUAUGUGAAAUGUCAGGGCUUAACCUUGGCGCUGCAUAAGAAACUGUAUGACUAGAGUGCAGGAGAGGUAAGCGGAAUUCCUAGUGUAGCGGUGAAAUGCGUAGAUAUUAGGAAGAACACCGGUGGCGAAGGCGGCUUACUGGACUGUUACUGACGCUGAGUCACGAAAGCGUGGGGAGCAAACAGGAUUAGAUACCCUGGUAGUCCACGCCGUAAACG
rnacentral:rRNA from 1 species